rnacentral:lncRNA from 1 species
UAGCCAAGCCAACUUCUCUCCCGCGUUGGGCCCUUCUCGGGGUUCGUGGUUCAUUACCAUGGUUUUAAUUCAGUUACCAUCAUAUGCAAGAGCCAAGCACUGAAUAUCUACAUAGGUUUUCUAUUUUUUUAUUUUCAAAGCGCAAUGGCAGUGGAACAAAACAGGACAUGAAGACGCAUCCUUCACACCGUUGUUUUCUGAAUGCUUUUUAAUCAAGGGUAAAUACAAAAGAUGCCUUGUUUGUUAACUAAUUUGUGGAAAGCAGGAGUCACUGACUCCGAGACUGCAUCCUGUUACCCCGUGGGCUGUAACUGCUGGUAUCAGAGGAACACACUCGCCUUUCCACACUUCUUAAUGUCUGUAACACUACUUCAGAGGUUUAUAACUUCACAGCAGAAGGAACACCUCAGCACUCGGAACUUGGAAGUUAGUUUACGAUGCUAGAUGCAUAAGGAUGCUUACUUGUCCUCUGUCGCUUCAGGUUGUUGCAAUACGUUGUUAAAGGCUAUUUCUACUAAUUAAGGUUUUUCACUAUGGUUGUGAUGUAGUAAGGAGUAAAUACUUCUCGUGUUCAGAGCACAUUGUACCCAACCUCCUCCACUCCUCUCACCACUUACAAGGGACUGAGCCAGAUGAGCAGUCUGGACAAAGCAAAGGAAGCAUGAAGUGAGGCUGCAGUCUCUCAAGGAAAAGACAGCUUUGCCUGCAGUUUACACAUUCCAUGGGAAAAAGGAAGAGCCAUAUGUCCUAUUAAAACGUCAUUGAGACUCGUUAUUAAGAUUCAGAAUUGUGGUGAAAAGCCUUAAUUACUAAAUUUUAAAGCAGCGAUAAUUUAAUUUUUGUUAGUGUUCCUGUUUUGCAUAAAUUGCAGUUAUAGGUGAGUUAAAAGUAUAGUCAUUGCCUUUAUCACAUUUGUGAAGUUGAUGAAGGCGAGACUUUGUCUGUCUAAUUUGUUUAUGUAUAAAGAGACUUGGAAAUCUUCACAGGAAUUAAACAUAUAUGCAAAUUUG